rnacentral:rRNA from 2 species
GGUUCCUUGAUUAAUAAAAAUGAGGAAUCAGGCCUGCCCAGUGAAAUUUUAACGGCCGCGGUACUCUGACCGUGCAAAGGUAGCAUAAUCAUUUGCCUUAUAAUUGAAGGCUAGUAUGAAUGGUUUGACGUGGGCAGCGCUGUCUACUUUUAUAUUUUCUAUAAAUUAACCUUUAGGUGAAGAGGCCUAAAUUUAAUUAAAGGACAAGAAGACCCUGUCGAGCUUAAAAGCUUAAAAAGAAAUCAUUAUUAACAAAAUUUAUCUCUUUUGUAACUUUUUAGUUGGGGCGACUAAGGAACAAAUAAAGCUUCUUCCACCAAAACAGCCAAUAAGCCAAGAUCCAGUUUACUGAGCAAAAAAAUUAGUUACCGCAGGGAUAACAGCAUAAUCUUCCUUGAGAGACCAAAUCGAAAGGGAGGGUUGUGACCUCGAUGUUGGACUAGAAUAUCCUGAAGAUGCAGACGUCUUUAAGGGUUGGUCUGUUCGACCAUGAAAAUUCU